rnacentral:rRNA from 1 species
CCUACGGGGUGCUGCAGUCGAGAAUCAUUCACAAUGGGGGAAACCCUGAUGGUGCGACGCCGCGUGGGGGAAUGAAGGUCUUCGGAUUGUACACCCCUGUCAUGUGGGAGCAAAUUAAAAAGAUAGUACCACAAGAGGAAGAGACGGCUAACUCUGUGCCAGCAGCCGCGGUAAUACAGCGGGCUCAAGCGGUGUUCGGAAUCACUGGGCGUAAAGCGUGCGUAGGCUGUUUCGUAAGUCGUGUGUGAAAGGCGCGGGCUCAACCCGCGGACGGCACCUGAUACUGCGAGACUAGAGUAAUGGAGGGGGAACCGGAAUUCGCGGUGUAGCAGUGAAAUGCGUAGAUAUCGAGAGGAACACUCGUGGCGAAGGCGGGUUCCUGGACAUUAACUGACGCGGAGGCACGAAGGCCAGGGGAGCGAAAGGGAUUAGAUACCCCGGUAGUC